rnacentral:lncRNA from 1 species
ACAAUAAUUGGAUGAACUAGCUGAAUGCAACACAAGGCAUGGAAGGGCAAGCCGUUACCUGUCCUGAGUUCAAGACCCAGCUCACGUGCUACGUCACUGUGUGAGUACCCCCAAGCUCUCUGAUACGUAAUUGUUCCAUGACCCUGAAGUGUUGAGCAUAAAUGGUGCUUCACUACAACUUGGAAGCCUAAAAGAUUUCUAGCAAUAUGUAUGAUAUUGUCCUAAUCCUCUUUUUCAGUUGACUCCUUCCCAGAGGGGCCUCAUGUUGCCUGUCUUUGCUUUGCUGUCUUUUAGUCCCUGCUUCUCCCCUCCUUUUUCAUAUGUCCUGGGGGAACUUUUAUUUUCAUCUAGUUCAGGGUUCCUUUACCUCUACACUCUUGAGCUCACGGGUUCAAUGAUCAUUUGUUGCAGGCAGGGGCUGGGGUGUCCUGUGCUUUGUAAGAUAUUGAGCAGAUGCAUCCUUGUUUUCUCCUCACCAGAUGCCAGUGCACUACUCUCCCGGCUGAAAUGGAUGGAAAUAUCUCCAGACACAUGCCAAUAUCCCUCCAGGAGCCAAACAAUACACCCUCCCCUCCAGUUUGGGAUGCUCAAAAAAAUUAAGUACCCAGAUCCAGGUCAUUCAGAAACUGGAAAACUUGGAAUUCAAGCUCAGCCCUGACUACAAACAUAACUACUUGAAGAAGUUGUUAUGUUCACAUCAGCUCUGCAAACUUUUAUUUUCCAGUCUUGGUGAGGCUGGAGCGAUUCUCAAGAGGACAGCUUCUCCCUGUCCCCCUUCCCAGCUCUAUCUACAUUCUUCUGCUCAGACGGUAAAGAAUCUGCCUACAAUUCAGGAGACCCAGGUUCGAUCCCUGGGUUGGGAAGAUCCCCUGGAGAAGGGAAUGGCUACCCACUCCAGUAUUCUUGCCUGGAGAAUUUGAUGGACAGAGGAGCCUGGCGGGCUACUCUGGGGUUGAAAAGAGUUGGACACAACUGAGCGACUUACACUUUCUGGGCAGGGAGGAGGACGAGGGAGUGAGCCCUCUGCUGGCUCCUGAUAUACCACAGCACCCAAAUCCUGGCAAGGUGCAGGCAGCAGGAGUCCAGGGCCCCAGUGGACAAAAGUGGACAGACAGAUGCCUUUCCAGUGCAGGAGCGAGCUGUCUCAAGGAUGUGCUGGUUAUGUAUCUCUUGGCCUAAACACCUCUGGCACUCUCAGCUCUGCCCAGAAGAUGCAAAGCCUUUGAGAGAGUCAUUUCCUAGGCAGGUUGAUAGGAAAUCUAGGGGUCCCCAAGGAGAGAGGGGUCUGGAAUUCUCAAGGAGGAAGAAAGGACAAACUUUUCACAGUCUUUGUAGACCAGGACCUGGGGACUGGAGUCGAUGAAAAUGAGAGGGUAACAGGCAGGAAGGCCAGGGGUCUCCAAAUGGAGGAAAUAGCCUGCAAGUGUCAGACAUUUUUAUCUCUCUUAAGUGGCAGGAGGAAACAAACUAGCAAUAUUUUUUCCUUCUCUAUACAAAUUUAAAGGGAGGUUUCUCUUAAAAUACUGUGUUGCCAUAAUGACACCAGGGUUCCCCUGAAGUUAGCUAUUCUCGAGCCUAGAGAUAACCAAUGCCUUUUUCUCAUGGAAAUGUCCGUCUUAAGCUAUGCUAAUGUGCUAUGACUUUACCCCAAACUCUGUCUCCAAGUCGGUUCCGCCUCUUGGCCCAGAACCUACUUGACAAACCAGUAUGGAUAUUGUUCCCCUAAUCUAUGUAAAUGAAACUAUUUGUAUGGUGGUCUGCCCUUCUUCAAGAUUCAAGUUAAUCAUUUUAUGGCCCAGGAUAAACCAUUUGGUGCCAAGAUUAUCCCAAAAUGCAUCUUAUGGGUGAGGGGCCUGGUGCCAUUCUGAAUUUUAAGACAUUCCUUUCUUUCAUUAACAGACUGCUAGUGACUAUAUAACAUCCAGCUGAAGACUAGCAGGGGGGUACUCUUUCUGCCCCCUUCUGAUGCCUAUGUCAGAAGCUUUCUCUAUCUCCUUUAUACUUCAAUAAAACUUUAUUACACAAAAGCUCUGAGCGAUCA